rnacentral:misc_RNA from 1 species
GCAUCACUGCUGAAGAAGAAGAGAGCCACACCUCUGGUCUCCUGAGACGCACGCAGAGGUACAUGCAGACACGGAAAAAAAGGCGUGAGCUACGCGUCAGUAAUGUGCGCCCAGCUAGUGCUCGCCGUCGUCGUGGACGGGGUUGCUCUAGUCUGGCAGUCCGUCACCGCCUCACCGUUUCAGUGCGCAUGCGGAAACAGACGUGCUGUUUUCUGAGAUGCGCGCAUGCCAACCUCUUCUUCGAUCAUCACCGCAGCAGGCGGAUGGCUCAGGGCUCUUCCGAUAAUCUCCCAUUGAGUCCGACAUCCCCACGGAUGCCGCUUCUUUCAGGUGCUUGUGCUUUUGAGGGGAAGGCGACGAGGAGCGGUGGUGGUGGUAGUGGAUGGAGGUGGGCUCGGUGCGCCUGAACAGAGCCACGAAACUCUCCAUUGUGCAAGGUAGUAUGGAGAUGGUUGCGCUGGACAUGCUCGUGAAGAACAAUGCUGAGGCGCCUCUUAUUAAAUUGACGAUUGUGACAACUUUCUCGCUCUACCUUUUCUUUUUUUUCUCUGCUCUCCCUUUCUCGGUGCAUCUCUGCAUAUGUUGCACUGCCACCAUGGGCAG